ensembl:snRNA LOC120093932 U7 small nuclear RNA
CAGUUAUUACUGUCCUUUUAGAAAUUUUUCUAGCAGGAUUUCUGACUUUGGUCAGAAAACCCAA